rnacentral:rRNA from 1 species
GAUGAACGCUGGCGGCGUGCCUAAUACAUGCAAGUCGAGCGAACGGACGAGAAGCUUGCUUCUCUGAUGUUAGCGGAGGACGGGUGAGUAACACGUGGAUAACCUACCUAUAAGACUGGGAUAACUUCGGGAAACCGGAGCUAAUACCGGAUAAUAUUUUGAACCGCAUGGUUCAAAAGUGAAAGACGGUGUUGCUGUCACUUAUAGAUGGAUCCGCGCUGCAUUAGCUAGUUGGUAAGGUAACGGCUUACCAAGGCAACGAUGCAUAUCCGACCUGAGAGGGUGAUCGGCCACACUGGAACGGAGACACGGUCAAUACUCCUACGGGAGGCAGCAGUAGGGAAUCGGCCGCAAUGGUCGAAAGCCUGACGGAGCAACGCCGCGUGAGUGAUGAAGGUCUUCGGAUCGUAAAACUCUGUUAUUAGGGAAGAACAUAUGUGUAAGUAACUGUGCACAUCUUGACGGUACCGAAUCAGAAAGCCACGGCUAACUACGUG